GAUCCUGGCUCAGAAUCAACGCUGGCGGCGUGCCUAACACAUGCAAGUUGAACGCGAAAGGGGAGCAAUCCCUGAGUAGAGUGGCAAACGGGUGAGUAACGCGUGGGCGACCUACCUCUGAGUGGGGGAUAACCUUCCGAAAGGAGGGCUAAUACCGCAUGACAUCCCAUGUUUGGAUACAUGGACAUCAAAGCCGGGGAUCGCAAGACCUGGCGCUUGGAGAGGGGCCCGCGUCCGAUUAGCUAGUUGGGGGGGUAACGGCCCACCAAGGCUCCGAUCGGUAUCCGGCCUGAGAGGGCGGACGGACACACUGGGACUGAGACACGGCCCAGACUCCUACGGGAGGCAGCAG
rnacentral:rRNA from 1 species